GUUCCCCUGCUGUACUCGUGAUGGACGGUUGAUCUUGAGCCAACACGAAUUUGAAUGGGAGCUGUCUCUGGCUGUGGAUGAUAUGUUCCGUACAGGAAAAAUUAGAAGCAGUUAUCAUAGCGCCCACCUAUUGUGAAAUAGGUUCAGAUUCAAUGCCUCCACACGGUACAAGUGGGGGAUCU
rnacentral:other from 1 species